rnacentral:rRNA from 1 species
GACGAACGCUGGCGGCGUGCUUAACACAUGCAAGUCGAACGGAAAGGCCCUGCUUGCAGGGUGCUCGAGUGGCGAACGGGUGAGUAACACGUGGGUGAUCUGCCCCUUACUUUGGGAUAAGCCUGGGAAACUGGGUCUAAUACUGGAUAGGACCAUGCUGUAGGUGGUGUGGUGGAAAGAUUAGUUUCGGUAAGGGAUGAGCUCGCGGCCUAUCAGCUUGUUUGUGGGGUAAUGGCCUACCAAGGCGUCGACGGGUAGCCGGCCUGAGAGGGUGGACGGCCACAUUGGGACUGAGAUACGGCCCAGACUCCUACGGGAGGCAGCAGUGGGGAAUAUUGCACAAUGGGCGCAAGCCUGAUGCAGCGACGCCGCGUGGGGGAUGACGGCCUUCGGGUUGUAAACUCCUUUCAGCCAUGACGAAGCCCUUGUGGUGACGGUAGUGGUAGAAGAAGCACCGGCUAACUACGUG